AAAAUAUAAAAAAUAUAUGUAUUAUAUUAUAUUUAUAUAUAUAUAUAAUAUAUAUAUGUAUAUAAAAAUAUAUACAAAAAAUAUACAGAAAGUUUGUAAAAAACCUGAAAACAGUCUCCCGGGACAGUUCCCAAAGGACAAGCUAAAAUUAUGAAGUACCCCCUCCAAUAUUGUACCUAAUUUCAGGAAAUUUUCCUGAUAAACCAUCUCAGGAGCCAAAACAACAAGAUGACAGAAGCUUUCAAGGACCCAUCUCAGGUCAUUGAGAGGGGUUGGACCCCAUGUCAAACUCAAUGGUUACACCUGGAGUAAGACCAAGAGCUUGGAAAGCUCCAGUACAACCCAGCAGAAGAUUGGGGCGUUCCCUGCUUUGGUGGCUUGAGAAAAUGAGCUGACAACCCAAUCAAACCCCACAGAUAGGAAAUCAUCAUCCUCAGCAGGGCCCUGCCCUUUUCUGCUGAGAAUAAUUCCAUUUUAUACAGGCAAAGUGCUCCCACUUCCAUUUUAUACAAGCAAAGUGCUCCCAGUUCCAUUUUACACAGGCAAAGUUGCUCCUCCCCAAGCAUCCCUAGUGAGGAUACCUCAAACCCAGUUUGGGAAAUUUACUCUACAAACCUUCUUCUUCAGACUAAAAGAAAUUAAAAAAGAGUUUUAAAAAGCAAAUUAAUUUUUUUCAGGAAUGACUUAAUUUAAGGAAGGAGCAUUUUGCCACAAUUGUGACAAAAAGACAGCAGAAUUUUUGGAAGUUUUUGGAAGUGGCCAUAAUUGACCUGCCUGUUUCCCAUCUCCUUUUAUCCCUAGGAGAUCCCAGCAUGAGCAGCUCAGCACCCACAGCUGUGCAAAGCAGCAGGGCUCUGGUACACAACUUCCUGCAGGAAGCAGAGGCAGCAGAGCACAGGAAACCCCAACACUACAAGAACUUCACUCCCUGCAAGGCCAGAACCCCACAAAGAUCCCCUGCCAUAAAAAAGGGCAUCUCCAGCUUGCAGAUUCCCCUCACAAACCUUUGUGCGUUUGGGCAGAGCAGGAUUUAUUCAUCCUAAACUCGGCUUCAAUCCUGCACCCCAGCAAAGCCCCAAACUCUCAGGGGUGGGGAUUGUCCGGUUUAUCUCGGCUGUUUGAGGGGCCUGGAA
rnacentral:lncRNA from 1 species